rnacentral:rRNA from 1 species
UGGGGAAUAUUGGACAAUGGGCGCAAGCCUGAUCCAGCCAUGCCGCGUGUGUGAAGAAGGCCUUUUGGUUGUAAAGCACUUUAAGCGAGGAGGAGGCUACUUGGAUUAAUACUCUAAGAUAGUGGACGUUACUCGCAGAAUAAGCACCGGCUAACUCUGUGCCAGCAGCCGCGGUAAUACAGAGGGUGCGAGCGUUAAUCGGAUUUACUGGGGGUAAAGCGUGCGUAGGCGGCUUCUUAAGUCGGGUGUGAAAUCCCUUAGCUUAACUUAGGAAUUGCAUUCGAUACUUGUAAGCUAGAGUAUGGGAGAGGAUGGUAGAAUUCCAGGUGUAGCGGUGAGAUGCGUAGAGAUCUGGAAGAAUACCGAUGGCGAAUGCAGCCAUCUGGCCUAAUACUGACGCUGGGGUACGAAAGCAUGGGGAGCAAACAAG